UACGUAGGGUGCAAGCGUUGUCCGGAUUUAUUGGGCGUAAAGAGCUCGUAGGCGGUCUGUCGCGUCGGAUGUGAAAACCCAGGGCUCAACCCUGGGCCUGCAUUCGAUACGGGCAGACUAGAGUAUGGCAGGGGAGACUGGAAUUCCUGGUGUAGCGGUGAAAUGCGCAGAUAUCAGGAGGAACACCGGUGGCGAAGGCGGGUCUCUGGGCAGUAACUGACGCUGAGGAGCGAAAGCGUGGGGAGCGAACGGG
rnacentral:rRNA from 1 species